GAUGAACGCUGACAGAAUGCUUAACACAUGCAAGUCAACUUGAACUUCGGUUUGGGUGGCGGCCGGGUGAGUAACGCGUACAGAACUUGCCUCACAGCUAGGGACAACAUUUGGAAACGAAUGCUGAUACCUGAUAUUAUGAUUUUAGGGCAUCCUAGAAUUAUGAAAGCUAUCUGCGCUGUGAGAGAGCUUUGCGUCCCAUUAGCUAGUUGGAGAGGUAACGGCUCACCAAGGCGAUGAUGGGUAGCCGGCCUGAGAGGGUGAACGGCCACAAGGGGACUGAGACACGGCCCUUACUCCUACGGGAGGCAACAGUGGGGAAUAUUGGACAAUGGACCAAGAGUCUGAUCCAGCAAUUCUGUGUGCACGAUGAAGUUUUUCGGAAUGUAAAGUGCUUUCAGUUGGGAAGAAAAAAAUGACGGUACCAACAGAAGAAGUGACGGCUAAAUACGUG
rnacentral:rRNA from 1 species